UUCUUAAGGUAUUUCAUAAUUCUUUAAAGGUGAGUGUGCACUUUUUUCGAUAAGUUACUUUCUUCUAUCACAGCUGUAAGUAUGCAGACAACUGUAAUGAUGACGUUUGUUUGCAUCCCCCUGAAAGACUGUGGCUCUGGGCUGCUGUCAGAACAUUGCUCUGUUUGUUUGAGCAUUUGACCAGCCCAGUACAACAUCGUUGGCCUAACCAAUGGUAUGAGAUUGGGGCGGAGCUAUCAGUUUAUCCAACCACUUGGAAGACUGGGGGAGUGUUUUACCAGUCAUUAUUUAUGCAGUUAAAUUUGAUUAUUUUAUUCACAGAAAUUACACGCUUCAACUCUCUGAUAAAGCUUUUGGAAAAUUCAGAGCUAUGACAUUGUCGGAAAUUUCAAUAAAACCAUGCACAGAUAUUAAACAUUAUUUCUGCACAUUA